UCCUUGCCUUCUAAUUCUGGUUCUAUUUGUUUUACAAGAAUCUCUUUCUUCCCAGCUGUUAACUUAACAGGCCAUGAUGCUCCAGAGUGCGAAUAUCCGUCAAUUACGCAGCAUUAGUCAGCCCCUGAGCGAGCACGCUGCAGAUGAUGGAAGCAAACAGGGAAGAAUGAGGGACAGGGCUGCCUCCGUUCACAGGCAUUACUCUUUGGAGCAUGAAGCAGGUAUUCAAUUCCCUUCCUACGUGUUGUGGAGAAACUGUAAUCCUUUAAAGAUUACUGACAAACACAAUGAAAAAAAGAAGUUGAUAGACCAAAAUAUGAAGGUGGGUGGAAAAGAAAUGACAAUCUUAUACACAGGUUAAGUAGGUAAUGUAGGCCAUGUUUGGACAACAUUCUAAUUUAUUGAAAGCAAUCAAUAUUUCAGUUUUGACAGACAUAUCUUGAUAACAACUUUUCAGUCUAUGCUUUAUGAGGGAAAACAAACACUGUUAAAUUAUGUCUCUAUGACUUGGAUCUAAUAAUGACUUCCUGUUCUGAUUCCCAGGUAAUGUCUUAGCAAUUUUUGUGUGAUUUUAAGGACUGGUUGAACCUGCUGCCUCAUGGCAAGGGGUUAAAACCAGGACUUGCUGGACUUCUAUGCAAUAUAGACCUUAACUUAUGCUCAAGCUUUGACAUAUUGAUUUGCCCAUUUCUUCCUCAAUUAA
rnacentral:lncRNA from 1 species